GAUGAAGAACGUAGCGAAAUGCGAUACGUAAUGUGAAUUGCAGAAUUCAGUGAAUCAUCGAGUCUUUGAACGCACAUUGCGCCCCCUGGUAUUCCGGGGGGCAUGCCUGUCCGAGCGUCAUUGCUGCCCUCAAGCACGGCUUGUGUGUUGGGCCUCCGUCCUCCUCCCGGGGGACGGGCCCGAAAGGCAGCGGCGGCACCGCGUCCGGUCCUCGAGCGUAUGGGGCUUCGUCACCCGCUCUUGUAGGCCCGGCCGGCGCUUGCCGACACAUCAAUCUUUUUUCCAGGUUGACCUCGGGUCAGGUAGGGAUACCCGCUGAACUUAAGCAUAUCAAUAAGCGGAGGA
rnacentral:misc_RNA from 1 species